AAAUAUUAAAUGGCCGCGGUAUUCUGACCGUGCAAAGGUAGCAUAAUCGUUAGUUUUUUAAUUGGAAUCUUGUAUGAAUGGUUGGACAAAAGAAAAUCUGUCUUUGUGUUAUAAAUUGAAUUUAACUUUUAAGUGAAAAGGCUUAAAUUAAUUAAAGGGACGAUAAGACCCUAUAAAGCAUUUUAUUGGGGUGAUAAAAGUAAAAUGGUUAACUGCUUAAUGUUAGAUACAUCUUUACAUGUAAUGAUCCUAGUUAAAGAUUAAAAGUUUAAGUUACUUUAGGGAUAACAGCGUUAUUUUUUUUAAGAGUACUUAUCGAAAAAAAAGUUUGCGACCUCGAUGUUGAAUUAAAAUAUCUUUAUAAUUGCAGUAGUUAUAAAAGUAGGUCUGUUCGACCUUUAAAAUUUU
rnacentral:rRNA from 1 species